rnacentral:rRNA from 1 species
CCUGGCUCAGGACGAACGCUGGCGGCGUGCUUAACACAUGCAAGUCGAACGGGAACCUUUAUUUCGGUAAAGGUGAGAGUGGCAAACGGGUGAGUAACACGUAGGCAACCUGCCGACAGGAUGGGGACAACAUUCCGAAAGGAAUGCUAAUACCGAAUGGAGUCGGGAGAUGGCAUCAUCUCCGGAUAAAAGAUGGCCUCUUAGCAAUGCUAUCGCCUGUCGAUGGGCCUGCGUCUGAUUAGCCAGUUGGCGGGGUAACGGCCCACCAAAGCGACGAUCAGUAGCCGGUCUGAGAGGAUGAACGGCCACAUUGGGACUGAGACACGGCCCAGACUCCUACGG